UCUCCGUAGGUGAACCUGCGGAGGGAUCAUUACAAAGAUCUCGCCCUACCGGCUAGCUCACCUACCCACUGUUAUGGUAACUGUCGUUUCUUUGCCGGGUGGCCGGGUCCCCGGCCGCUGGCUUCUAAUCGGCGGCGCGCUCACGCCAGAGGUCUUCGAACCCUGAAUGUUAGUGUCGUCUGAGUACCAUAUAACAGUUAAAACUUUCAACGACGGAUCUCUUGGUUCUG
rnacentral:misc_RNA from 1 species